rnacentral:ncRNA from 1 species
AUAGUAUAAAGCAAAAUCCAUCGUAAGGUGAAGACGGAAAGCCUACGGGGCUCGCUUGCGAGAUGGCCGGGUUGCCGAA